rnacentral:misc_RNA from 1 species
GUAGGUGAACCUGCGGAGGGAUCAUUAACAUCCAACUAUAUGUAUAUAUGGAAGGUACCUUUCGUGGGUACCCGAUAUAUAUAUGUAUAUACACACACUCGUGAACUCUAUACAAUUUACAUACUCUGUGAACUAUAUAUUUUAUACAAACAUACUAAUUUCUCAAUCACUCCACGCAAUGGAUAUCUUGGUUCUC